AGGGAGAGAAAAAAUGUGAUAAUACAAUAUGUUUUCUUUAUAGUUCUCUUUAUCAAUUUUUUUAAAAAAGUCUUGCCCUGGAACUAUAGAUUUAAUAAAAAAACAAACAAACAAAGAAUAACAGAAGAUUAAUACAGUUACCAUCGAUGGCUCAAAUUCUACCUCCAGAAAUUUUGUCUCACAAGCAUUAUGCAAGAUUUUCAAAGGAAAUGAGCUUGGAACACCAUUUGAGCAACUGGGCAAGCACGCAGGUCCAUAAAUGGCAUCUCCAGCAGCACGAAAAGCCACGGGGAUUCCUUGCCGCGACAGAAAUUUAG
rnacentral:lncRNA from 12 species